CGGGCGCGGGGCCGGCAGCGGGAGGGGCGGGCGGGCGGCGGGGCUGCAGGGCCGGGGCCGCUGUGCGAGAGCGGCCCCCGCCCCGGCCCCGCUGCCCGCGCACGCAUGCACGGCAGCGCCCGGCGCCUCCCCGCCCCGCAAGUUACUUGGGCGCUGCGGACACCCCCUGCCCCGCGCAAGCCGCGGGGCCGCGUUGGUUCUGUGGUGAUCCCCCAGCAUCGCCCUGCGGUAGCAUCCUCUGGUAUUAGCCCCUAACUGUGCCGACCACACAGGGUGUGAGCAGGACAUCCAAGACUGCUUGCUCCGGUGCAAUCUUGUCACAAUUCAUCCAGAGAGCAUCAAAGCCAUGAAGAGACAGAAGCUGCCCCAGGAGGUAUUUCCUCAGCCCUUGGAAAAUGCCAACUAUAAAGGAAAGCUGGAUUUACCAAGAAGUAGGUAAAGUGGCAGCCAGCACAGGACUCAGUACACAGGUCUCCCAGACAACUUUUCCUAGUGAGCAGAUACAUCCUGCAGGAACAUCUGUUUCAGGAUGGGUUAUGGCACCACAUCCAGGAAAACUGCUUUAGAGGUUUCCAGGUAUCCGUGAGGGACUUGAAAUCAUGGAGAUACUCAGUGGCCCAGGUGUCAUUUUCCAGCCAGCAGCCACAGGAGUGGGAUAAGGAUGGUGCAGCUCUAAGGAAAAUACACAUUUUGAAAGUUCCUGGGUAUUUGUUUAUUGUCUUCAACUUCUCUAGCUUUCAACAGCUCCUCAAGAAUGUAUUAUAAUCUGCUCAGUGAAGGUUUUCAAUUUAGCUGUAUCAGCACAAUGGAUUACUUCUCACAUCCUUCUUUCACAUAGAUUAACAAUCUGUCCUGUGUAAUAUACUUCCAUUUUUCAGCAGUACAAAUAUAGUGUUAAAAUAAUUGCCUAUAACAAAUAUUAUUUUCAAUAUCUUUAUUAAAGACACUCAAUCUAGCCAUUUCCCCUAACUUCUUUCAUAAGGUUGUAAAAUAAACCAUUAUAAAAUGUUCAAAA